rnacentral:rRNA from 1 species
GAUGAACGCUGGCGGCGUGCCUAAUACAUGCAAGUCGAACGAGGUGCUUUUGUAGCAAUACGAGAGUAUCCUAGUGGCGUACGGGUGAGUAACGCGUUGGUGACCUACCCCAAAGUGUGGGAUAACAGUCCGAAAGGAUUGCUAAUACCGCAUGUGGUCAUUGGAUUUAGAAACUGAUGACUAAAGGAGCAAUUCGCUUUGGGAGGGACCUGCGUCCCAUCAGCUAGUUGGUGAGGUAACGGCUCACCAAGGCGACGACGGGUAGGGGACCUGAGAGGGUGGCCCCCCACAAUGGAACUGAAACACGGUCCAUACACCUACGGGUGGCAGCAGUAGGGAAUAUUGCACAAUGGGCGAAAGCCUGAUGCAGCAACGCCGCGUGUGUGAUGAAGGCCUUCGGGUCGUAAAGCACUUUUCUGGGAGAUGAGAAAGGACAGUAUCCCAGGAAUAAGUCUCGGCUAACUACGUGC